rnacentral:rRNA from 1 species
UACGGAGGGGGCUAGCGUUGUUCGGAAUGACUGGGCGUAAAGCGCGCGUAGGCGGAUCAUACAAGUCAGGGGUGAAAUCCCGGGGCUCAACCCUGGAAUGGCCUUUGAGACUGCUGGUCUUGAGUUCGAGAGAGGUGAGUGGAAUUCCGAGUGUAGAGGUGAAAUUCGUAGAUAUUCGGAGGAACACCAGUGGCGAAGGCGGCUCACUGGCUCGACACUGACGCUGAGGUGCGAAAGCGUGGGGAGCAAACAGG